AGUUCACAGAUCAGAGUUGUACACGACUCCAGAAUCCUCGAUUGAACCGUCAGCAAAUCAAAGCCACCGAGAAGUCAGAGAAAUGUUUAAAAUAUCAACGUGGCACGUAAUUAAAGAUCCAGCUAAGUUGUCCGCACCUAAUCAUUCCUCCAUUACCGAAUCAAACGAUCUCUCUCCCACACAGUUUCAGGUUCUCCGUUUCGACGAUGGAUCUCUCACUCGCUGCUUCUCCCUCUUCGUUUGACUUACUAUUAUUGAACCACAAAUUCUCAUUAUUUCAAUUUAACCCCGACUUCUCUCUCAAAUCCAAAAAACCCCCUACAAAAUCAUUAUUUUGGCGCCAAAAUCACCCAUUCAGAGUCAGAGCUCUUAACGAUGAUGGUUUCGUCCUCGAAGACGUGCCUCACUUGACUGAUUUCCUCCCUCAUCUACCAUCGUAUCCAAAUCCUUUGCAUCACAGCCAAGCCUACGCGAUUGUCAAGCAGACUUUUGUUGGACCAGAAGAUGCAGUCGCACAAAAUAUUGUUGUUCAUAAAGAUAGUCCUAGAGGUGUACAUUUCCGGCGAGCCGGGCCCAGAGAGAAGGUGUAUUUUAUGCCUGAUGAAGUGCGUGCUUGCAUAGUGACAUGUGGGGGUUUAUGUCCCGGGAUCAAUACAGUGAUUCGCGAGAUUGUAUGCGGAUUGAAUUAUAUGUAUGGAGUUGAUGAUGUACUUGGCAUUAUGGGAGGUUAUAGGGGCUUCUAUUCAAAAAACACCAUAAAUUUGACGCCCAAAGUUGUGAAUGAUAUACAUAAGCGUGGUGGCACAUUUCUUUGCACUUCACGAGGAGGUCAUGACACAAACAAGAUAGUUGAUAAUAUUCAGGACAGGAGAAUAAAUCAGGUAUAUAUUAUUGGAGGUGAUGGCACUCAGAGAGGAGCAGCUUUAAUUUACAAGGAAGUUGAGAAACGUGGUCUUCAAGUGGCCGUUGCUGGGAUCCCCAAGACGAUUGAUAAUGAUAUAGUGGUGAUAGACAAAUCUUUUGGAUUUGAUACCGCUGUUGAAGAAGCUCAGAGAGCAAUUAAUGCUGCACAUGUGGAGGUUGAAAGUGUGGAAAAUGGAGUUGGGAUUGUUAAACUGAUGGGCAGAUACAGUGGUUUCAUUGCGAUGUUUGCAACUUUGGCAAGUCGAGAUGUGGAUUGUUGCUUGAUUCCAGAAUCGCCAUUCUAUCUGGAAGGUCCUGGUGGUCUUUUUGAAUUUAUUGAACAGAGGAUCAAAGAAAAUGGGCAUAUGGUUAUUGUGAUAGCAGAAGGAGCCGGGCAGGAAUAUGUUGCUCAGGCCAUGCAGGCAGCUGAUGAGAGAGAUGCAUCAGGGAACAGACUACUUCUUGAUGUUGGUCUAUGGUUAACUCAAAAGGUUAAGGAUCAUUUUACAAAGGUGAAGAAGAUGGAGAUAAAUAUGAAAUAUAUAGGUUCACAUAGAACAUCCUUGUCAUUGAGAGGUUGUUGCUCAUUCUAACCUUCAAUCACGAUAAUCGAUUUCUGUCUCUGGGGUUGUGGUUGUUUGUCUUGAUCUGAUAAGGUUCUACGACCUCCAUCAAGUUCAUCUUCACUAACAACCAUCACAUAGACAAGUGGUUGUCUAGGUGGAGUUUCAGGAAUAGGUCUAAGGUAAGGUGGGUCUCGAGGUAAGUCUCCAAACAUGUUCCUCUACUCUUUGUGAUUCUUUUUUAUGCCUUCCAUCAACCAAAAUAGAUCUUCUUCAUUAGAUGAAUACCCGUAGUCAUAGUGACCACAAGGAUUUGUACGAGCUAGUUCGAUGACAAGUUGGCCGUGGGCUUCAUCUCCGAUCCUACAUACAUGAUUAGAGCUAUCCCAAGUAAUGCAUCAGACAACAUUUAUUGCAGUCUUCUUGCACAAAGUGCUGUUCAUGGGGCCAUGGCUGGGUACACAGGAUUCACAGUUGGUCCAGUAAACAGCAG